rnacentral:misc_RNA from 1 species
AACGGUCUAUACCUGCGGUACCUGCGGAGGGAUCAUUAAUGAGAAACUGCCCCUCGCGGGUAGAUCUCCCACCCUUUGUAAACUUACCUUUGUUGCUUUGGCAGGCCCGUCUCCGGACCGCCGGCUUCGGCUGGCCAGUGCCUGCCAGAGGAUUCUAAAACUCUGUCUGUCAGUGCUGUCUGAGUCUAUAUACAAUCGUUAAAACUUUUAACAACGGAUCUCUAGAUCGGAAGAGCACAC